rnacentral:rRNA from 1 species
CACGAACCGUACGAACGUUAUUCGGAAUUACUGGGCUUAAAGGGUUUGUAGGCGGCCAUGUAAGUCAGGUGUGAAAUCCCUCGGCUCAACCGAGGAACGGCGCUUGAUACUGCAUGGCUUGAGGGAGACAGGGGUAAGCGGAACUAUGGUGGAGCGGUGAAAUGCGUUGAUAUCAUCAGGAACACCGGUGGCGAAAGGCGCUCUGCUAGGCCGCAACUGACAACUGAGGGACGAAAGCUAGGGGAGCGAAUGGG